GUACUGCUGAAGAAUCCCAAACUAGGAUGAAACAGCUGUCCAGUAC
rnacentral:hammerhead_ribozyme from 1 species